GCUGAACUUAAGCAUAUCAAUAAGCGGAGGAAAAGAAACUAACAAGGAUUCCCCUAGUAACGGCGAGUGAAGCGGGAUGAGCUCAAAUUUAAAAUCUGGCUGGUUUACUAGUCCGAAUUGUAGUUUAUAGAAGCGUUUUCGGUGGCAGCCUGGGUAUAAAUCCUUUGGAAUAGGGUAUCAUAGAGGGUGAGAAUCCCGUCUUUGACUCAGUGCAUGCUACUAUGUGAUACGUUUUCAAAGAGUCGAGUUGUUUGGGAAUGCAGCUCAAAAUGGGUGGUAAAUUUCAUCUAAGGCUAAAUAUUGGCGAGAGACCGAUAGCGAACAAGUACCGUGAGGGAAAGAUGAAAAGAACUUUGAAAAGAGAGUUAAACAGUGCGUGAAAUUGUUGAAAGGGAAACGCUUGACACCAGUUAUGCGGGUGGAAAAUCAGUCUUUUGCAAUGGGGAGUUGUGGGCGUUCAGACCGCAAGGCUGGCGUUUGCUUCAUCUUUGUUGUAAGUGAUGCACUUUUUCAUUUGCAGGUCAACAUCAGUUUGCUUUGCUGGACAAAACCCCAAGGGAAGGUGACAGCUUAGGCUGUGUUAUAGCCCUGGGGCGAUACAGUGGAGUGGACUGAGGUUUCGCAGUGUGUGCUCUCGGGCAAGGCUGACUGGGUGCUAUGGGAUCGUUCGGCGUACAAUGCAUGCAUUUUGCGUCGUGUCCUUUUCAUACUCGCUCAACUCGGCUCUUCCACGCUUAGGAUGUUGACUUAAUGGUUUUAAUCGACCCGUCUUGAAACACGGACCAAGGAGUCUAACAUAUAUGCAAGUGUUUGGGUGGCAAACCCAUGCGCGUAAUGAAAGUGAACGUAGGUGCCAUCCGCAAGGUGCAGCAUCGACCGAUCUUGAUAUUUUUGGAUAGAUUUGAGUAAGAGCAUAUAUGCUGGGACCCGAAAGAUGGUGAACUAUGCCUGAAUAGGGUGAAGCCAGAGGAAACUCUGGUGGAGGCUCGUAGCGAUUCUGACGUGCAAAUCGAUCGUCAAAUUUGGGUAUAGGGGCGAAAGACUAAUCGAACCAUCAGAGCGCAAU
rnacentral:rRNA from 1 species